rnacentral:lncRNA from 1 species
CUAAGAGGAUUAGCAUCACGUUUCUGGCAAAAUGUACUUUUAUUUCAGCAAAUGCUACUUUCACUCUUGGAGGAGAUUAAAAACCUGAAAGAAAUGGUUUCUUUAUUGCUUUAUGCUCAGUCAAACAAGUAUGAAUUUUAUCUCGUCUUAAAGAAUACAGUCCCCUUGUCCAAUUAAAGCCGAUUGCAAGAGAGUUAAGUUUCAAGGCAAAACAACCCUGAAAUGUGAGGACAAGUUCUAAACUGGAACAGGACUGGGAAACUCCUGCUGCCCAGGCUGGAAGUAAAGCAGUCAUAAGCAGUCUGAUUGCACCACUGAUUGAUUUGCAAGUUCCAACCUGCUCCAUUUCAGACCUAGACAAGUCCAUCCUUCCUCAAGCAACCUGCUGCUUCUCUUACUCCACUGCCCCCCUCAUAAAGGUUCAUGUUGACCUGGGACCUAGUGAAGACACCCAAUUGCACAUAACAGUUCAGAAUCCCAGGUUCAAGCAAUUUCCAACAGAUUCAGCCUCCCCAUUAGCAGGAAUUAUGGGCAUGUGCUUGGCUCAACUGGUUUUGUUUAAAUGUUUUUUUAUUUUUGCUAUAGGGGAAAAUGAGAGGAGAAUAUCAGGAAAUUGUUGUGAUUUAAACAUAAAGGGCAUACUGAUUAUAUAUUUAUAAUCAGCUACAGAUUAUAGAUAGGGAAUAUUAUGGGCAGCUAGGUGAUAUAGUGCUAGACCUGGAGUCAGGAAGUCAGGAAGACUCCUCUUUGUCAAAAUUUCACCUGAAACAUUACUAGCUGGGCAUUUCUGGUCAAGUACUUAAACUCUAUUGCCUCAGUUCUUCUUCUGUAAGAUGAGCUAGAGAAGAAAGUGGCAAAGCCCUUAAGGAUCUCCAAAUGGGGUCACCAAGACGGAAAUGACUGAAGAACAAAUUGGGAAUAUUAUAGCUGUUAUAGAUUCGGUUAAGGAAGAAGGGAUAGAGAGUAUCAAAAGUCAAAGGAGGCUUGGGGAGGCUGGCAUAUGCCACCGCUGCUAGUAAUUCUGCUAUUGAUAUAGGAGGUCCCCAAAUCUAAUAGCACAACAUGGCGGUCCACUCUAAGCUGCUCUAGGCACACUACUACAGCUAUGGUGGAAGGUAAGUUCUAGGAAAUGGCUAUAAUAGGAUUGUGAUCAUUGGAGUUAAUGAAGGGGAAAAUCCAAGGCCAUUUAAGGAAUUGGGUAACAGCAGGAUUAUAAGGUCUAAAGGAACAUCAAGGGGAAGAUCACCACUGGAAAUAAACAGACAUCAUCAAUUGAGUCA